rnacentral:lncRNA from 1 species
AAAUAUACACAGGACACCACAUGCUCUAGCAACUACUACCUCAUUUUAAGCAAACAAUUUGAGGAAACAAUUGACAACAAUUUUCAUACUAGUGCAACAAUUCCGAAACUUUCAUUACACCCAACAUCAAAGAAAUUGACCAAACAAGGGCAAAAGAAAUUCCAUUAAAAUUAAACUUGGGCAAACAUCAAAGGUUUUCAUUACACGCAACAACUUUCAUUACUCUAAGCAGUUUACCGAAAAUCAUCCACUUCUAAUUUACAGUAACAUGAUUAAAAACAUUAACCAAGAACAAACAAGUGCAAUAAUUAAUUUUCUUCUUUCUUUGUUUUCUCCAUCUCUUGCUCCAUUAUGUUAAUCUUGUCUCUUGGUGGUGCAAGUACUCCAUGGUUCUUUCAUCAGAACCUAAAUGUCAGUACAAUAAAAAGUUUAGUGAUAUACAACAAAAUUAACAAAAACUGUAAAAUAAAAUAGAAACGAGGAUUGAGGCGAAAAAAAUGAAAAAGAAAGGAGUAUGUCCAUGUACUCCAAAUUUAUAUACCAAUAGUCUUUUGAUAUCAAUGAAUUUCAGCAUUUACUUAGCCAUUGGCAAAUUUUCUUUUUUUUUUCUUUUUGCUCAAUAAAAACAGUAAUGUUAGUAACAUUUCUUAAAUAAAACUAAUUAAAAUGAGUGAACACUUCCUAAUUGUUAGUCCCUCAUCGUAUUGUAGUUUUCCCCAAUUUUAAGAGCUUGUGGCACAAAUGACUGCAAGGACAGUAUUCACUGGGUGAGCAGAUAUAGCAGCCAUUGUCUAAAAAAGUAGUUUUGUCACGGUCUAAGAGUAUUUUUGCCAUGCUCUCUUAUGUUGACAGCCUCCAGAGUCCAGACCAUGGCUUUUGUUUUUUUACAAAUGUGAAAAUUUUAACAAACUUUAGCGUAUGCAGUUUUGUCAAGUUCAUAGUUUAUAAGAACAAAAGAUAUGAGAUAUUCCCUUAAAGAUUAGAGCAUCUUUGUUUUGUUUAAACUUCUGCUAUUUCUCAAAAACAAUAUGUUCCUGUGGCAAAAGAUUCAGUUAGAGAUUAGAUGGAUGUUCUCUUCAUUCUGUAGCCAGGGGCAGUGUUACAUCAUGCACUAGUAUCCCAUCUUCAAUAUUGGAUUGUCACUCUCCAAGCAGGUAUUUAGUAAUAACCUCCUGUAGUAUGUAGAAUAUCUCUCAACUCCAAAUCUUUAGAUUCAUCAUUCAUGUCUAAAAUAUAUUAAAUAGUUGAAAAGGUUGGAAUUAUUAAGUCUUUAAGCCCUAAAAAACCUUCAUAAUACAGAACACCAUAUAAUCUUUCAAAACCUACAACAUAAUAUAAUCUUUCAAAAAAUAAAAAACAAAAAACAAAAAACAAAAACACAAUACAUACAAAAAAACACCAUAUAAUCUACAAAAAAAUAAUAAUAUAACACCAUAUAAUCUUUCAGAACCCAACUCCAUAAUACAGAAUAAAAACACAAUACAGUACAAAAAUAAAAAAACACCAACUCCAACCCACGAAAAUGAUGUGAAUUUGCAGAUUAUAGGGUUUGGCCCUCAUAAAUUUUAAGCCCUAAAAAAGCUAUUAUUGAACACCAAAACACAAAUUGGAACGAAUCUGAGCCUGAUUUCAACCCAUACAACAAGAAAAUCCAUAUACAAAGUUCUAAUUUUGUUACCUUGGUCUAAAAUUGACGAAUCGACGAGAAGGGCUCACAUUGGUUUGUCUCGCGAAAUGGCUGCAAGGUGAGUAGGAGAGAGAAGGCAGAGAUUCGUCGCGACGAGAGAGGGAGAAGGGGCCGAAAGCCUACUCGCGUCUGUUUGCCUCUGCUUCCGAUUUGCUCUUCCGUCUGCUUCUUGGAAGUGUGAGAGAGGGAGGGAAGAAGAUGGAGCAGCGUUUUUGACCCGGUUCUUUGUGAGUGAGGGAGAGAGAAUCGACAGGCGCAGGGGAGAGAGCAUCGGGGAGAGGGAGAGGGAGAGGGAAUCGGCAGUAGUUGUUUCCUCUUUUUUUUUUUUUGAGACCCGCCUCAUGUUUUAACCCAUUUUGUGACCCGCAUGAUUUUUUGCUAUUUUUUUGCCUUGAUC